UAGCAAUAAUUUAUAUUUCUUAACUGAAUAUCUACUUCCUUCUGUGAAAAGAAAAUUUCAGUUUUCGGUUUAAAAUUUAAACAACUGGCUACCUUAUGUGCGCAAGGCGAGUACUGGCAAUGGGUGCCAUGGGCACAUCAGUGACAACUGGGCUGCUCAUAAGAAGAGCAUUUCAAUCUUUUUCUCUUCCCAGAACCUCUUCUACUAACCUCUCUAUUCAUGCUGCCCCUUGCUUUUUUCCUCUGUCCUGGCCUCCUUCGAGAAACUCAGGGAUAUGUCAGUUGGCACAAGCUAUGAAGAGUGAAGUUAGUGAUUUACUCAAGAGUGUCGGAGACAAAAGUGUUGUUGAAGAAGUGAAGCAUAUUCUUGACAUGUCUAGAAGGGCAUCAUCAAGAAGAGAAGCUCUCCAUACAGAUUUUCUCACCCCACCAAUAUUGAAGGAGUCAAUGCUUUUAUUGGAAAAAUUAGCUGACAUUAAAGCAGUUGGUCAGGGAGGAUAUCCACAGGCUGAGCGUUGCCGGCUUUCUGUUGGACAUCCAGAAGCACUAAUGAACGAUCCAGAUAUAAUUGCAGCAUUGAGUAUCACAGGUAACUUCGCAUUUCAACCUUGUUCUCAUGGUGACUUCCUUGGCUCAAUUCUAGGUACAGGGAUCUCCAGGGAAAAGGUUGGGGAUAUAAUCUUGCAGGGAGAGAAAGGGGCUCAAAUCCUAACUGUCCCAGAACUUGUCGACUUUAUCAUGUCCUCACUGGACAAGGUUGGUAAUGUUUCAGUUUCAUGUGCAAGGAUACCUUUGCUGGCUCUUGAAUAUGAACCACCGAGGACUAGGACUUUCAAUACAAUAGAAGCAUCACUCAGGGUGGAUGCUCUAGCUAGUGCAGGAUUCAAGAUUUCACGGUCAAAACUAGUUGAUUUGAUUAGUAACAGAGAUGUGCGUGUGAAUUGGACUACCAUCACAAAAAAUAAUACUAUUCUAAAAACUGGAGAUAUUGUCUCGGUUAGUGGGAAAGGAAGACUAAAGAUAGGAGAAAUAAAUUCUACAAAGAAAGGAAAAUUUGCAGUUGAGCUUAUUCGCUAUCUGUAAGCACCAGCAUGCUGAACAAAAAUGGGAUAUGAGGCUCACUACAUUGCAAGGGUUGGCGAGUGGCGUAAGCACCAGCAUUUAGCAAUUUAAGAUCAUUAGUUUUUGCCGCGUAUUCCUUAUUGAUGGCAGCUUCUCUCACCUGUUGAUUUAAGUAAAGUUUGUCUUCAACAAUAAUGUGCAAGCUUCUGUAUUAGUAUUUGCAAGAGAGAAUUCUGAAUCAGUUGCAGGGAACUCCACUGGCGCAUUUGCGAUUGCACUUGCCACAGUGAUCAGCACUAGAAGCAACAUUAGUACAUAUUCCAUGGCAGCAGUGCUCUCCGAACUUGCACUUGCGGCCGCAUUGGCCGCAAUUAUUCUUAUCUCCAAGAAUAUUCCUGCAGUGUUUCUUGCAGCAGUAGAGCAGGCUAGUGCCAUUGUUGGCAGAAACUCCACUACAUAUGUUGUUAUAAGUUGGGUCGCAGUGCUUACCUUUUCUUAUAACAGUAGUCAAGAAUCUGCUUCUUGACAUGGAAUUUUGCAAUGGGUAGUCAAGAACAUACACUUCAUCAUCAUCUUCAUCUUCUAUAUCAGCAGACUGGGUUUUUGGAGUAUUCAAGAACAGUAGCAGAAGUAUGGAGAGAAUGGUUGUGUUCUUGAGUAGACAACUAGCCAUUCUCUCUUCUCUCUCUCUCUCUUGCAAAGUGGGAAUUUGUCCACAAGAGUGUAAAGUAAGGGAGAUGCAUGGAGGGUAUUUUAAGCUAAAAAAGUGUGAUUAAAAUAUAAUGACUAGAUUUACACAUUCCAUAAUCUAAGGGCAAGGAAAUUAAUGCUUCCUGUUGCAAGUUUUUAAGCUUUAAGCAUAAGUUAAUGAUUAAUUUAGUGAAGUUCUUAAUACAACUGUACACUCUAGAUUUUCGGGACAGCUCAUUAAGUAUUUGCUUUGUUUUGACUAAUUGUAAUGGAGCCCCCCCUAAUGCAACCCCAUGCAUGGGCAUGUUAGGGUUCAGAUUUUAGGCUGAAUAAUUUUGUUUAACCUUCAAAUAUAGGAUCUAUGUUUAGUCUAAA